rnacentral:lncRNA from 1 species
GUUGCUGCCCCUUUGCUGCUAUUGCGUUGCAAAAAAAAUCCUGACUAGGUAGCCUUGGACCUUUUCUGUGCUAGCGAGUCUAAAGGAAAGAAAGAUUUCUGCAACUGAAGGGGCAGUCGGGUAGUAUUACAUUUAAGAUAUUAACGCCCGACCUGGCUCACAGGAGUGUGGGAACAGGGGCGGGGAAGGGCCUUAGCACUGAGAGCCGAAAAGUAUAAAACGAUUAGUUUCGGCGUCAGGCGUUUUGAAAGGCUUUGCAGGUCCUGUUUUCUGCGUAAUUUUUCCGUGAUUACUGACUGGUUUAAACACGACCCCUUGAACAAUAUUGAUAAAACCUCCGAGACCCGCAGCCCCUCCUUGCAGCGUGUAGGAGCUGCCAGCGUGCCCAGCAGCUGGUGUUCCCGUCCGUACCUCCAGAAGAGCCCAGCGCGUGCACCAUCCCCACCCCCUAGCUUCCCUCCCCACCUACGGCUUUCACGCACUCGCAGUGAUUGUUU